UACAGAGGAGGCAAGCGUUGUUCGGAAUCACUGGGCUUAAAGCGCGUGUAGGCGGCUUCGUAAGUAUUCUGUGAAAUCCCACGGCUCACCCGUGGAACUGCAGGGUAUACUGCGAGGCUUGAGGUAGGUAGGGGCCACUGGAACUCUCGGUGGAACGGUGAAAUGUGUAGAUAUCGAGAGGAACGCCCGAGGCGAAAGCGGGUGGCUAGGCCUGUCCUGACGCUGAGACGCGAAAGCGUGGGGAGCAAACGGG
rnacentral:rRNA from 1 species